rnacentral:lncRNA from 1 species
AACAAACAAACAAACAAACAAACCCAAAAUGGGUGUCCACAGGUAUGUGGAUUUCCUUCUGUUUUCUUUGUUUGUUGGUUUUAUUCCAUUCCAUUGAUCAGCCUGCUUUUAUGCCAAUACCAUGCAGUUUGUUUUGUUUGUUUGUUACUAUUUCUCUGUAGUAUAGCUGGAAAUCAGGGAUGGAGAUGUCUCCAGAUGGUCUCUUAUUACUAUCAUUUUAUUAACUAUCCUGAGCUAUUUGGUUUUUCCAUAUGGAGUAUGGUUUUUUCAAGGACUGUAAAGAACUGUUUUAAUGGGGAUUACAUUGAAUCUGUAGAUUGCUUUUGGUAGGAUGACCCUUCUUAGGAUGUUAAUCCUACCAAGCCGUAUGAGUUCCCUGGUAGAAUUUUUGGAGUCACUUAUGUGUACUAUCAUAUCAUUUGCAAAUGGUGAUGCUUUGACUUUAUCCUUUUCAAUUGGUAUCCCCUUCAUCUCCUUGUACUAAAUUGAAUAGAUACAGAUGUUGUUGUAAAAAUAAAAAAAAA